ACAGAGAAGUCAAAUUUUUCCCCUAAAGACAAAAGAUGUUACAGCUUUAUUUUUGUGAAAGGUUUGGACAGUGCCUUGCAUAGAGGAGACAGUAUAUGUCUGUCUUUUCAGGAUCCUGUAUUAUGGCUUGGCAAACUACAUCUCACAGACCAAACUGGCCCACCGUUUAUUUUUGUUAAUAAAGCUUUAUUGGAACACA